rnacentral:rRNA from 1 species
AUGCAAGUCGAGCGGAAAGGCCCUUCGGGGUACUCGAGCGGCGAACGGGUGAGUAACACGUGAGCAACCUGCCCUAGGCUUUGGGAUAACCCUCGGAAACGGGGGCUAAUACCGGAUAUUACCUUCUUCCGCAUGGUGGGGGGUGGAAAGUUUUUCGGCCUGGGAUGGGCUCGCGGCCUAUCAGCUUGUUGGUGGGGUGAUGGCCUACCAAGGCGACGACGGGUAGCCGGCCUGAGAGGGCGACCGGCCACACUGGGACUGAGACACGGCCCAGACUCCUACGGGAGGCAGCAGUGGGGAAUAUUGCACAAUGGGCGGAAGCCUGAUGCAGCGACGCCGCGUGAGGGAUGACGGCCUUCGGGUUGUAAACCUCUUUCAGCUCCGACGAAGCGUAAGUGACGGUAGGAGCAGAAGAAGCGCCGGCCAACUACGUGCCAGCAGCCGCGGUAAGACGUAGGGCGCGAGCGUUGUCCGGAUUUAUUGGGCGUAAAGAGCUCGUAGGCGGCUUGUCGCGUCGACUGUGAAAACCCGCGGCUCAACUGCGGGCCUGCAGUCGAUACGGGCAGGCUAGAGUUCGGUAGGGGAGACUGGAAUUCCUGGUGUAGCGGUGAAAUGCGCAGAUAUCAGGAGGAACACCGGUGGCGAAGGCGGGUCUCUGGGCCGAUACUGACGCUGAGGAGCGAAAGCGUGGGGAGCGAACAGGAUUAGAUACCCUGGUAGUCCACGCUGUAAACGUUGGGCGCUAGGUGUGGGGGGCCUCUCCGGUUCUCUGUGCCGCAGCUAACGCAUUAAGCGCCC